CACACCCUAUACAUUGGACAAUUGCAGAGUGAGACAGAAUGAUAUGAGGCGAUUUUAAUCUCGAUUUCAAUGUCGAGGUGGGAAUUUUCCACUGCACUGGCAGGUAAACGCGAAGAAACGUGAGACACAGCUGUGGGAUCAACUUAACGUGAUCGGGUCGAGGGUUUGGCGCAGCAGGCAAUGCGAUCCAACAUGGCAGUGACGAAUCCCAUUACAGAGUAGCCUAAAAUCAAGCCUGCAAUGCCACCAAAUGAAACUAAAGAGAAGAAACACUUUCAAUAAAAAUCAGGUGAUUGUAGACGGCUAUAACCUACCCAUCAAAUCGAGAAGAGUUAUUUGUAAUGUAGAGCAAUAAGAGAAAAGGGUCUCCUCUUGAAAGUAGACAUCAACCUCCAUGAGGCCAUCGUUCUUGACGCUACCCAGACGAUCCGUAUAGGUAGAUGCAUGAUACUGUAUGUGAUUGCAGUCGGGAUAACACUUACAGUUGGUGGUAUUAAAUACAGAAUCUCGAGACUCUUCGAUGAUGUUGCUCAUGGAUAAAAACGAUACUAUGGAAAGUAUUUGAUUAUUGCGUCAUUAAAAACAUAUAAGGAUUACUUCUACCUUUGAACUUGGCAAAACAUGACAAAUCCAUCACAGUGCAAUUGCGAAGUGAACUUUCUUGAUACGGCAUGAUCAAAUCAAGGUGGCAUUUGCACUUCUUUUCCAUGUAUUUAAUAUGACAGCGAUGUAUGCACUCAGAACGCAUUUGACCAUUCUUUGCCAGUUCAUCUGUAAAGUAGCAAUAGCGCAUUUCCACGGGACGAGCUCUAACAGCGGAUUCGGCUGUGAAACGCAUCGGGUGCAAAGGAAUCACAAUGCGAUCAUCCGAGGAGGAGGUGACACUGGUGCCCAGAUAUUGCGAUGGCUCCUGCACUAUAACCUUCAGAAGUAGUAAAACUAUUAAUCAACAAUUAUCGGAUGUAGUUAGGGACAGAACUAACACCAACUCUCUCCAGGUGAUGCAAGCCCACGUUGCGAUUCAUCUUAACAUUGAGCCCGCUAUUGAAACCCGAAGUAGCCACUGACCAUGGCCAAGUAUUAUUUGGUUCCUGAACAAUUUCCGAGUUGAAUAUGUAACAACUUACACCAUAGCCAAAGCUUUGGAAGAUGCUACAGCAAUCGACCUCACGACGUCGCCACGUACAUUUGUUGAACAAAUCGCUGCACUGGUAGCCACGGUAGAGUGUGCUGCCAAAUUCGGAUAUGGAUUGGUUGUAGUAAUCCUCAAAUUCUGUAAAAUUCGUGGCGACUUCUUCUUCACUGAGCACGGUUUUUAAUUGAAUGCUCUGGAUCAGGUUAUAGAGACGGUUCAUACGACUCAAUUCCCGCUGCUUAGUAUUUGUAUUAUUCAAGCUGUCCAAUGUCAAAUGAAUAGGGCAAAUGGUGAUGGCCGGAAAGGGAAUUUCCGAAAUGUGGACGUCAGUGCGCUCAAUGGUGGUUUGCACCCAGAAUUUGAAGUAACGCUCCGAGGACAAUAUGCAGACAUAAAUCUUACUCACCAUUUUAUCCAGACCCAUCGCUGCUUCUCAGGCUUCUUGUCAUCAUCAUCAUUAACUGGCAACUUAGUCACUCCACUCAUU